GUUUCUGUAGUGUAGUGUUUAUCACGCUUUGCCUCACACGCAAAGGUCCCUGGUUCAAACCUGGUAGAAACA
rnacentral:tRNA from 1 species